rnacentral:lncRNA from 1 species
CGUGGCUUUGCGCAGGGUUAUGUGCUGCAGGUUGUACCCAGACAGAUAAUUAGCCAAGUGGCAUCACGAUGCUAAUAGAGAGCGCUUUUAGCCUCGACUGUGCCUCCUUCUCCGCAGUGGUGCUGUGCCACCCUUUGCCCUCCUGCAGCUCACCGUGGCCCCGUGCACAGCCAGGCACCGCACGGCCGGGUACCGAGCGGUAAUUACACACCACAGGAGGGUUUGUUUAUAGAGGAGGGGUGAUUCACAGCGCCUGGAAAGGGUUAACAGCCCAAAAU